GUUGUAUAGAGCAUUUAGCGUUUGAUGUGCACAUUUAAAUUGGUCCGUUAGUAAUUUUUAAAAUCUCUUGAUUUGUGUUCCAACCUUUGUAAAGGUAAUACUGUUUGCUAAGUCGCGUUUUCUAAGAUUUUUUUCGCCGAAAAAGAAUGAUAUACUUAAAGUAUGCAUGUCUAUGAAUGAAUGCCCUUGCUGGAAAACAUUUCACCAAAGUUGAAGAUAUCGAAAAUUGGCUUGAUACAUUCUUGGCCGUCAAGCCAGCGCAGUUCUUUUGGGAUGGAAUCCACAAAUUGCCAGAAUGAUGGAAAAAACUGUACACGAUUGACAAUUGAAACAGAGGUCAUCGAUUUUGAAAGCUGAAGAUGAAUUUAAAACUUUAGAGCUGUUCUUUAGUCCCAAAGUUUUCAUUAGGUCAUUUUUAAAAAAUGGAACGAGGUAAAUUUUAAGGGUAAUGUCUUCGACUAGAUACAAAUUGUGAUCUUUUGAUGUAUUAUUGAAAGAAAUCCGUUCGACAAGAGAAAAAGUGUUAACAGACACAAAACAAAAAAAAAACACAUCAUAGUAAAAUCAGUACCUUUUCAGCUUCGCAUCGAAUCUAAAAGAUAAGAUUCUUCACUAAUGUUUUUUUUUCAAUUCAAGUAUU